GGUUCCAGACAUACAUAUCAUUACCAUUUAAUCCUCACAGCAGCCCUACAGAGUUCGUAUCUCAAUCUAAGAUGGGUUUCCUGCGUACUGCACAAUGCUUACUUAUGAUAGUACUCAGUGCACCAUCUCUGGAAAAAAAGGAAGCAAAGAGAAAAAAAAAACAGAUAUGGACUGGUAGGCAGCUGCAGUUUCAAAGUAGCCGUGACCAGGCUGUAUUGUUCAUAUCUGUGGAGUCUUCUUGAAAGACAAGAAAACACCUAAAAAUAAGGCCUAGGAACUCUACUAAAUGGCCAUAAGAUUCUUCACAAAAUGGAAAAUAGUUAUACUGAUUAUUUCAGUGCCAGAAAUGUUCCAUGGUUACAGGUUUGGCACCUUUUGAAGUUGCACUUUCUCUUUGAGGCUGUUAAGGUGCUAUUUAAUGAAUCAAUUGAGUCAUUUAAUCAAUAAAAGUAUCCCUGUCUCCUAAAAGAGUUAAUAU
rnacentral:lncRNA from 12 species